GAAAAUUCUGUAAAAAAAAUUAAAAGAAUAAGAAACAACGCAAAUAAGAAAAAAAAAACUUUAGAAAUCAAUUCAUUUGAUAAUCCAAAUUUAUUUAACAUUCAUGAUGUUGUUGUCUUUAUCUCUUUAUUUAUGCCGUAAUUUUUUGGAAGAAGAGUUGGAAAUUUUAUUAUAGCUUUGAUGACAUUUUAAUUCAAUUGUUCUAUUGCCAUUAAAUUAAAAAGUGACCAAAUAUGUAACCAAAGGGACACCAUAUGAAAACAAGUAGUUCUUUUGUUAUUUUUGUGGCUUUGAAUUUUGGGAUAUGUUUUUUUAUGGGCUCUAAUUGUAACCCGAUUGGGAUAAAAAGUGAGA
rnacentral:misc_RNA from 1 species